rnacentral:tRNA from 1 species
GCGGAAGUAGUUCAGCGGUAGAACACCACCUUGCCAAGGUGGGGGUCGCGGGUUCGAGCCCCGUCUUUCGCUCCA